AGACAAAUAGUUUAUGAGAAUGGAUGCUUUGGGAGCGUCAGGUCUACUGGGGAAGGUAGUUUGUCUG
rnacentral:tRNA from 1 species